GACUCCGCCCUCUCUGUCCUUCGGUGGAGACUCCGGGAAAAACCUGCCUCCCAGUCUGCCCUCUCUCCGUCUGUCUGUGCUUGUUUUUCUACGUUUAUCCCUGUCGCUUUCCCCACUUAUUCUGCAGGCAUGGCGCGCCCCCAGUGCCGGCUUGGUGCCAGGGCUGGGAGAUCCGGGGGUGAAUCGUGAGCCCGGCCCACAGCGAGCUUGCAGUCUAGAGAUCAAGGCAGUCUUGUCCACAACCUGCUGUCACAUAAAGCAAAUGUAGCUGGUGUAGCACCAGGGGCUGCAAUCAAGUGCGGUGGGGCGGCAAUAGUGACCACGGAAAUAAUCAGAAUUGCUUUUAAUUCAGCUCCUACUAUAUUCCCGCAUCCCUGAGCCUCACAAUCAUCCUCCAAGGUAGGUAUUUUUGUCUUUCUCUAACAGAUGAAAACUCUGAGUUUCAGAAGAAUUAAAUGACAUCCCCCCAAAAGAGAGACAGUAUAAGAAUCCAAGUCAACCUGAGUCCAAAACCAGUGGCCCUUAACACUGUGUGGCUUUAUGGAGGACAUGGAGUUUAAGUUUACCUUCAAGGAUGAGCAACACUUUUCUUCAAGCAGAAAAAGAAGGGAAUGGGUGAACACGGUCCCAGGCUGCAGCAGCCCCCAUCGAGGCCACUCAUUUACAGCACAGGCCCACACAGUCUGACAAAGGACAGCUGCAAUCCUCUGUCAACUGCAGUCCUUUCCCAGGCACAUGCUGGAUUGGGAAACAGACAUUUAUCAAGCACCUACUCUGUGCCUAGCAUUGUGCUAGGUGCUAGAGAGCCAAAAAUAAAUAGCAGCUGCUCUUGUGGAGGUCACAGUCUUGGAGGAGUUAAAGACACGGAAACAAAUUACAACACAGCGUAACAGCAGUGACAGAAGCACGUAUGAUAUGGUUUGACUGUGGCCCCACCAAAUCUCAUCCUGAAUUGUAGUUCCCAUAAUCCCCACUUGUGGUGGGA
rnacentral:lncRNA from 1 species